rnacentral:tRNA from 1 species
GCCGGGAUGGCGAAAUGGCAGACGCUACGGACUUAAAAUCCGUUGGAGAGUAAUCUCCAUGAGGGUUCGACUCCCUCUCCCGGCA